UAAUUGAUGGCCAAUCAACUAAGAAAAUAAGCUUGAAUCUUAAUAGACAAUCUCAUAACAAUUAAUAAAACUAACAAUGAAGUAUGCCAAAAUAAACUAGGCACUAGAUUCCAUUGCAAUCCCAAAAUAGAGUUUAACUCAUAGUUGAAUUAGAAUCCAUGAUCCACAAUUGAAUAUACAUUGAAAGAUACAAAUAGAAGUAAAGAG
rnacentral:lncRNA from 1 species